GCGCUCGUUGCUCAGUCGGUAGAGCGGUGGAUCGGUGAUCCACAGUCCCGGGUUCAAGUCCCGGCGGUCGCU